GCGCUCAGGAUAUCUUGGGGUCUUUAGGCAACUUCCCAUGCUCGAGAUAAUCAAUGAUAUCAUUCCUCUUGUCCCAGAACAAAUCAGUCUUGUUUACCUCGUAGUAGCUAUCUGCAUCUAGAACCUAGUGCAUAAGCUGUACUAUCGUACUGGAAUCUGAUCCCUCCAUUUUCAUUGAUGAGCUAAGGUAGAUAAUGCAUCUGCUUCUGAGUUUAAUUCCCUCAAGAUAUGCAUAAUUGACAACUCCUAGAAUCGAGCAAGUAGAGCCUGAACCUUCACCAUAUAUUCUUCCAUGCGCUUCUCUUUGGUUCGAAG
rnacentral:lncRNA from 1 species